UAGGGAAUCUUCGGCAAUGGACGAAAGUCUGACCGAGCAACGCCGCGUGAGUGAAGAAGGUUUUCGGAUCGUAAAACUCUGUUGUUAGAGAAGAACAAGGACGUUAGUAACUGAACGUCCCCUGACGGUAUCUAACCAGAAAGCCACGGCUAACUACGUGCCAGCAGCCGCGGUAAUACGUAGGUGGCAAGCGUUGUCCGGAUUUAUUGGGCGUAAAGCGAGCGCAGGCGGUUUCUUAAGUCUGAUGUGAAAGCCCCCGGCUCAACCGGGGAUGGUGAUUGGAAACUGGGGGACUUGAAUGCAGAAGAGGAGAGUGGAAUUCAAUGUGUAGCGGUGAAAUGCGUAGAUAUAUGGAGGAACACCAGUGGCGAAGGCGGCUCUCUGGUCUGUAACUGACGCUGAGGCGCGAAAGCGUGGGGAGCAAACAGG
rnacentral:rRNA from 1 species